GAUGAACGCUGGCGGCGUGCCUAAUACAUGCAAGUCGAGCGAACAGACGAGGAGCUUGCUCCUCUGACGUUAGCGGCGGACGGGUGAGUAACACGUGGAUAACCUACCUAUAAGACUGGGAUAACUUCGGGAAACCGGAGCUAAUACCGGAUAAUAUAUUGAACCGCAUGGUUCAAUAGUGAAAGACGGUUUUGCUGUCACUUAUAGAUGGAUCCGCGCCGCAUUAGCUAGUUGGUAAGGUAACGGCUUACCAAGGCAACGAUGCGUAGCCGACCUGAGAGGGUGAUCGGCCACACUGGAACUGAGACACGGUCCAGGCUCCUACGGGAGGCAGCAGUAGGGAAUCGUCCGCAAUGGGCGAAAGCCUGACGGAGCAACGCCGCGUGAGUGAUGAAGGUCUUCGGAUCGUAAAACUCUGUUAUUAGGGAAGAACAAAUGUGUAAGUAACUAUGCACGUCUUGACGGUACCUAAUCAGAAAGCCACGGCUAACUACG
rnacentral:rRNA from 1 species